UACGGAGGGUGCAAGCGUUAUCCGGAUUCACUGGGUUUAAAGGGUGCGUAGGCGGGUAAGUAAGUCCGUGGUGAAAUCUCUGAGCUUAACUCAGAAACUGCCGUGGAUACUAUUUGCCUUGAAUAUUAUGGAGGUGAGCGGAAUAUGUCAUGUAGCGGUGAAAUGCUUAGAUAUGACAUAGAACACCAAUUGCGAAGGCAGCUCACUACACAAUCAUUGACGCUGAGGCACGAAAGCGUGGGGAUCAAACAGG
rnacentral:rRNA from 1 species